rnacentral:tRNA from 2 species
GGGGACAUAGCUCAACUGGUAGAGCACCGGCUUUGCAAGCCGGGGGUUGCCGGUUCGAGUCCGGUUGUCUCCA